AAGUUCCCGUGGUUAUUCUUCACAAUUUUCUCUUCUUCAUUUUUCUCAUCCUAUUUAUUAUCUUUCAAAGCUGCGGCAUUAGCAUUUCUUGUCAAGUGCAAAAUACCGUGCUUCUCAUUUACUCCUAACAACAUAAUACUCUUGUAACCAUCGAUUAACAUGAAACCAAGCACCUAUCCUGUUCUGUGCUUUGAUGUAUUACUAUAACUCUGUUAAUAUUCUGUUCCACACUUUGUUUUUGUAGGAUUGACAGAACAAUAGCUUCACGAUAUUAUCUAAAUUGUUUUGUUAGAUCUCUUGUUUACUACAUAAUGUCUGGCUUGAAUUUUCUAUUUUGCAGUGAUCUUAGGCUCAAGGUUUAAGUGGAAAUCUCCAUUGGCCAUUAAUUACUCAUUGAAUUGCAAGGCCAGUAGCUUGGACAAAAAUAUUUAUGAUGGCAAUUUUUCUUUCGUCGGAGCCUUAUAUAGCUUGGUGCCUUAUAUAGCCAACACUUGAUAUCCUUGUUGUCGGAGCUUGCACAUUGUCUAUCUGCCUUUUCAGUCACGAGGUCCAGCACCAUGAAGACAAUGGUCAAUCAAGGGGCUUUCGCAUCAUCGCUUUGGUGUUUUGGUUCAAAUUUCUGAUAUUGCCGAGGUAGCCGAGGACGAUGUACUGUUCAUGCAAUGAAGUUGCACAA